rnacentral:rRNA from 1 species
UAGUAUCAGCGUGUCAGCAGCCGCGGUAAUACGAAGGGGGCUAGCGUUGUUCGGAUUUACUGGGCGUAAAGCGCACGUAGGCGGAUUGUUAAGUGAGGGGUGAAAUCCCAGGGCUCAACCCUGGAACUGCCUUUCAUACUGGCAAUCUUGAGUCCGGAAGAGGUGAGUGGAACUCCUAGUGUAGAGGUGGAAUUCGUAGAUAUUAGGAAGAACACCAGUGGCGAAGGCGGCUCACUGGUCCGGUACUGACGCUGAGGUGCGAAAGCGUGGGGAGCAAGCAGGAUUAGAUACCCUGGUAGUCCACGCCGUAAACUAUGAGAGCUAGCCGUUGGAGGGUUUACCCUUCAGUGCGCAGCUAACGCAUUAAGCUCUCCGCCUGGGGAGUACGGUCGCAAGAUUAAAAACUCAAAUGAAUUGGCGGG